rnacentral:rRNA from 1 species
CAGUCGCCGCGGUAAUACGUAGGUGGCGAGCGUUGUCCGGAAUUAUUGGGCGUAAAGGGAGCGCAGGCGGACAUAUAAGUCCAUCUUAAAAGUGCGGGGCACAACCCCGUGAGGGGAUGGAAACUGUAUGCCUUGAGUGCAGGAGAGGAAAGCGGAAUUCCCAGUGUAGCGGUGAAAUGCGUAGAUAUUAGGAAGAACACCAGUGGCGAAGGCGACUUUCUGGACGAAAACUGACGCUGAGGCGCGAAAGCCAGGGGAGCGAACGGGAUUAGAUACCCCAGUAGUCCCUGUCUCUUAUACA